AACGAACGCUGGCGGCGCGUCUUAAACAUGCAAGUCGAACGAUCUGUAGCAAUACAGGGAGUGGCGGACGGGUGAGGAACACGUAGGAAUCUACCUAGAAGAGCGGGACAACUUUGGGAAACCGGGGCUAAUACCGCAUAGUACAGAGAUGUUAAAGGGCUAGCAAUAGUCGCUUCUAGAUGAGCCUGCGGUCUAUCAGCUUGUUGGUGAGGUAAUGGCUCACCAAGGCAACGACGGAUAGCCGGUCUGAGAGGAUGAUCGGCCACACUGGCACUGAGACACGGGCCAGACUCCUACGGGAGGCAGCAGUUAAGAAUCUUGCGCAAUGGGGGAAACCCUGACGCAGCGACGCCGCGUGAAGGAUGAAGGCUUUCGGGUUGUAAACUUCGGUAGACUGGGAAGAAGAACUACGUUCGUUGAGGGCGUAGAGUGACGGUACCAGUCUGAAGCCCCGGCUAAUUACGUGCCAGCAGCCGCGGU
rnacentral:rRNA from 1 species